GCAUGAGUGAUGAUUUCCAUUCUUUUGUCGGAUACCCCUUCACUCAACGAUGAGUGAGAUCCUCGCUCUGACGUGC
ensembl:snoRNA